GGAUGUGAGGGCGAUCUGGCUGCGACAUCUGUUACCCCAUUGAUCGCCAGGGUUGAUUCGGCUGAUCUGGCUGGCUAGGCGGGUGUCCCCCUCCUUCCUCACGGAUCCAUGUGCGUCCCUCCCGAAGCUGCGCGCUCCGUCGAAGAGGACUACCUCCCCUCCCCCCCGCGAGGAGAGGACUGGUCUUCGGUCAAGGGUAUACGAGUAGCUGCGCUCCCCUGCUAGAACCUCCAAACAAAGAUAGAAUCUGGUCUAUUUUCUUAAUUAGUUCCGUUUAUAAUCGCACAAGCCUGUGUUUAAUAGCACUGGGAACAUAGAUGUUUAUUUAAAAUAACCAGUAAUU
rnacentral:snRNA from 1 species